rnacentral:rRNA from 1 species
GAUGAACGCUAGCGGCAGGCCUAAUACAUGCAAGUCGAGCGGCAAGUUGAGAAGCAAUUCGAGACCUAGAGCGGCGUACGGGUGCGUAACGCGUAUGCAACCUACCUCAUACAGGGGGAUAGCCCGGAGAAAUCUGGAUUAAUACCCCAUGGUACAUAUUGAAGGCACCUGAGAUAUGUUAAAGAUUCAUCGGUAUGAGAUGGGCAUGCGUCUGAUUAGCUAGUUGGCGGUGUAACGGACCACCAAGGCGACGAUCAGUAGGGGUUCUGAGGGGAAGGUCCCCCACACUGGCACUGGGAUACGGGCCAGACUCCUACGGGAGGCAGCAGUAGGGAAUAUUGGGCAAUGGUCGGAAGACUGACCCAGCCAUGCCGCGUGCAGGAAGACGGCGUUCUGCGUUGUAAACUGCUUUUAUCUGGGAAGAAAAGGCCCAUGCGUGGGACAUUGCCGGUACCAGAUGAAUAAGCACCGGCUAACUCCGUGCCAGCCGCCGCGGUAAGAC